AUUGAACGCUGGCGGCAGGCCUAACACAUGCAAGUCGAGCGGAUGAAGGGAGCUUGCUCCUGGAUUCAGCGGCGGACGGGUGAGUAAUGCCUAGGAAUCUGCCUGGUAGUGGGGGAUAACGUCCGGAAACGGGCGCUAAUACCGCAUACGUCCUGAGGGAGAAAGUGGGGGAUCUUCGGACCUCACGCUAUCAGAUGAGCCUAGGUCGGAUUAGCUAGUUGGUGGGGUAAAGGCCUACCAAGGCGACGAUCCGUAACUGGUCUGAGAGGAUGAUCAGUCAGAAGGGAACUGAGACACGGUCCAGACGCAUAAGGGAGGCAGCAGUGGGGAAUAUGGGAAAAUGGGCGAAAGCCUGAUAAAGACAUGCCGCGGGUGUGAAGAAGGGCAUCGGAGUGUAAAGCACUUUAAGUUGGGAGGAAGGGAAGUAAGUUAAUAACUUGCUGUUUUGACGGUACCAACAGAAUAAGCACCGGCUAACUUC
rnacentral:rRNA from 1 species